rnacentral:lncRNA from 1 species
CCAAAAGCAGUCCACACUCACAUUCUGUUUCUUGAUAUAGGUACUGGUUCCAUCAUAGCUUUGUGAAAAUUCAUCAAGUGGCUGGUGCGGUGGCUCACGCCUGUCAUCUCAGCACUUUGGAAGCUCCCUCUCCUGCACAAGACCUGUAGGGCUUGGCAUCUGUGAGCACUCCAGUAAGUAUUUACUACUAAAUUCAGUUGUCAUUCGUCUAGAAUGUACUGGGGGCCAGCGCCUGUUUUUCUAAGCCUGUCUUAUUUAAUCUUUACCAUCACCUCAUGAUUUACUCUUAUCCUUAUUUUACAGUGAAGAAAUGGAGAUUUUUGGGAGGCUGAGUA